UCUUAGCAAAUUUUUCGCUUACCGCUCAACACUUAGCCGAAAUUUUUUAAAAAUCAUUUACCACCAAACAGUUUUUUCUUUUUUGUUCAUAGCAAAACCUUUUAUAUCUUUUAUUUUUUCUUUUUUCUCCAAUACUCAUCUCUUUGCUUUUCUAAUUCUCGCUAUAUUCCUCUUCAGAUUCUUCAUCCCAUGAAACAAGCUUUUCUUCACUCUUACUCUCUAAUUAUGUGCCGCUUGAUUAAUCAGAUUUCUUCUUCUUCAAGAUCUGAUUUCUUCGACAAUUUUUUUUUGCCUUCUCAUGUUGUCUAAAAGUCCCUCUUAUGGUGAUAAAACGCUAGAUCUAUGAUGUGUCACAAAGCAGAUACUCUUGAGAAUCUUUACUACUUCAUGAAAUUAGGGUUGAAUACUAAUUAGGAUUGGCUAAUUUUGAAGACAGAUGCGAGUUGAGAAGGUUGGGUUCUUCGAUGUAGCAUUUAUUGGUUGUGAGGCUGAAGCGUGUUGGGUUCGCAAAGUGUUGUUCAGAAACUGGAGACUUGGAAAAGAACUAAAGACGCAAGUGUUGUUCUAUUCGUAUGUCUCAUGGAGACUAUAAUUAAUCAGGUGCCUUUUUUUUUCUUUUUAAUCUCCACUUAUGUCAAUUAUCAUGUUAGCCAUUUAGCUUGCAUCAAUAUGUUUUGUUUUCUCCUGGGUUAGAAAUUUUGAAGUGAUUUAUGUUAUGUAAACUGAUGAUGCUUUCAUGCCCUCCAAGUGUUCGACGAAUUGCCUCAUUAUUGGCUUGGCUUGUUUCUUAGCAUUGUUUGGCGUUCUGUAAGCUGAUUCCUGUCAGAUAUAUUUCAUUUGAUAUUAGUAUUAUAAUAAAUUUAACAAAUUUCAGUAGUUUGUCACAUCUUGACUUUAAAAAAUCAUGGAUCAGCUCGAGCUGAAGAAACGGGGACGAGUGGCCGUAUAAAGCAAGCCAAAGGCGGCUGAACUCCGGAAGAGUUUAGUAUUAGCUAGUCAUUGCUUUGACAAUUAUAACUUGCGAUUCACUAGUUCCAAAAUCAAGAUGUGAGAUUUCUUACUUGAUGCAGGAGGAGACAUUGAGACAAGCAGUUAACAUGUUAAGAUUUUGGAGCUUUCAAGUUGUCAAAAGAUGGUUUUCUAAUGCUCCAGUUUACUCCUUCAGCUAGAGUACAACAAAAGGAUUUGAGCAAGAAACAGGGGUAACUAAAGCCACAACCAAGAACUUGACAUUCUUCAAUGCUUGUAUACUGAAUUACGUAUAGGGGAAAGCAGGAUAUGGAGAAGGCAGUGGGAAUUGCUUGGAAUGAGACCCUAUGUUCUUGGAGGGCGAGAAAGAGCAAACCAAUGCAGUAGCUCCUUCGUUAGUCCAUCUCAAUUGCAGUACUUAUGAUGUUUUGUGCGACUAUGUUUAAACAUAUGGUUUUAUAUGAUGAACUACUUUGUAAAAUUACAGUUAUGUAUCGUUUAAUGAUCUAUAGAAUGACACAUGCUUUUAACAAA